UACAGAGGGUGCGAGCGUUAAUCGGAAUUACUGGGCGUAAAGCGCACGUAGGCGGAUUGUUAAGUGAGGGGUGAAAUCCCAGGGCUCAACCCUGGAACUGCCUCUCAUACUGGCAAUCUCGAGUUCGAGAGAGGUGAGUGGAAUUGCGAGUGUAGAGGUGAAAUUCGUAGAUAUUCGCAGGAACACCAGUGGCGAAGGCGGCUCACUGGCUCGAUACUGACGCUGAGGUGCGAAAGCGUGGGGGAGCAAACAGG
rnacentral:rRNA from 1 species